rnacentral:tRNA from 2 species
GCCAAUGUAGCUCAGUUGGUAGAGCAACGGUUUCGUAAACCGUAGGUCACCGGUUCGAAUCCGGUCAUUGGCUCCA